rnacentral:lncRNA from 1 species
CAAAGUACUUGAUUCAAAUAACACAUAACACACAACAAAUAACAUGAUUCAAACAGAGCUAAUAACACAUAAAAUUUUAAAUGGCAACCAAAGUACUUUACAAUCAUGGCAGUAUAAAUCAGGUAUUCAACUAUAAAAUACAACUAAAUAUUAAUAUGGCCAGCUCCAGCUCCAGGGUUUUCUUCGGGAUUAUUCUCCUGGAGUUCCGUGUACACCAACUUUUGACGAAUGAAGGCCAAAAUCUGCGUGUUAUAAAUCAGAAAAGUUAGGAAUAUAAUCAAGUGAAUUCGUGCAUAUAACAUUCUCCUAACAAUGAAAAAUAGAUGCAGAAUUUUAGAUCUAAUAAGAAACCAUGCAUAUAACAUUCUCAUAACAGCAAGCCUGAGAUAUAUUUGGAAAGGUAAAAUGACAAGUAUCAACCCAGUGCAAGAUAAUAGAGCAACUAUGCCAAAGUUAUUCAGAUUUCCUGAUGUGUGUGUCGCGUUAUACAUGCAUCAAGAAGAUCGUAUAUAUACACAGAUUUAAUGCCUAAAGCACAUCAGGCUUGGAGCUUACGUAUAUAUACACGAUUACUAGUUGGAACUAGUGAACAAAGGUUGUGAAUGAUUUUCAUACGAGUAUGUAUAGUCAUGGUUCUGGACAUGAAAAUGUUUAUGUACAUUCAUGAAAGUUUUGCACAUGACAUGAGCAAGUAUGCAGUCCCUAAUUAGAUUACAUGUUCUGACUUAUGAGCACGAGAGGAAUACAUAGACAUUGGAAUAUCCUCAUGCUUAAAAUAGAAAGAGAACAAAAGAAAACUUAACCUAUCUAUGCAGCAGAGAGAGAUAGCAGGGCAGGAGGACCUAUGGACCAACUUGUCCUUCACCAGAUCAUUCAAGGGAAGAAAAAUAGCAGCAAAUCAGCUUGCCUGUUCCCGUUCACAGAACUAGACCAGAGCAGCCAUAUCGGAACAUAAAUAUAUGGUGAAUAGUUUGACACUAUCAGCUAUGCAGAUAUAUGGCUCAGGAACAUCUACUCAACAAACAAAGAGUGAUACUACUCUGGCACAUAGAGUUGAUGCAUCGGCAAAAUAUUUCAAAACUGGAUAACUGAGAUGAUUUGCUGAAUGAAAUCUUGUGGAGAUACUUACACCACAUAGCUAGCGUACCAUUGCACUUACACCAUAUAACGAGCGAGGGGUCGGGUCGGGGCACUGACCUAGAGUCAUAGGCGCGGGAGCUCACCUUGGCCUUCAUCCUGCCGCCAGACGCCAACCUCAUCAGAGCCCGCAAAAGCCAAAAUCUUGAACUGGCCGGGAACCACGCGGUACCUUGGGAUCGGAGCGAGGGUGAGGGGUGGGCUGGGACUCGGAUGCUGAGCUCCCUGCACACGGCAUAUUCUGUUAAUGCUUACAACAACAUAAGAUACUCACAUAUAAAAAUGCACCCUGGAAGUAUAAAGAGUGCUUCCUAGCACACCAAGAAUCCAACAGAAAGCAAACAUGUACACCGGUGAGCUGGUGACCAUAAAGUAACAUCAGAAAGACUCAGCCAUCACAAAUACUCAGCCCGAUCCUAAUAUAAAGCAAUUCAGAAACUCAAUGACAACAAAAUAUAUAGAAGAAAAAAAAGCUCAUUUGGUUGGAAAUUAAUUUUCAAAUCACAUUUUAAGUUGCUCUCUAUUGCAUGAACAACAACCACAUAAAAGUAUGAUGAAUAAACUAUAUGUCAGAAGAGAACCGAGCAGAGAAUAGACACUAAAAGAAAGCAGAUAGUAUACUCAGUACUUACUACAGAUUUUCUCACUGGAUACACACACACACACACGCUUUGCACAUGCAGAUUUGCUCCCUGCAAAAUCAAGUCUGAACUGUUGGCUAUAAUAAUUACUGCAACAAAAUUCCCAAAACAGAGAAUGGCGUCCUCCUUGACCAGACGAU